rnacentral:rRNA from 1 species
UACGUAGGGGGCAAGCGUUGUCCGGAAUCAUUGGGCGUAAAGAGCGUGUAGGCGGCCCGAUAAGUCCGCUGUGAAAGUCCAGGGCUCAACCCUGGAAUGCCGGUGGAUACUGUCGGGCUCGAAUCCGGAAGAGGUGAGUGGAAUUCCUGGUGUAGCGGUGAAAUGCGCAGAUAUCGGGAAGAACACCCGUGGCUAAGGCGGCUCUCUGGGCAUUACCUGACGCUGAGGAGCGAAAGUGUGGGGAGCGAACAGG